rnacentral:rRNA from 1 species
UUCGAAGCAACGCGAAGAACCUUACCAGGCCUUGACAUGCACGAGAACUUUCCGAGAGGAUGGAUUGGUGCCUUCGGGAACUCUGACACAGGUGCUGCAUGGCUGUCGUCAGCUCGUGUCGUGAGAUGUUGGGUUAAGUCCCGCAACGAGCGCAACCCUUGCCUUUAGUUGCCAGCAGUUCGGCUGGGCACUCUAAAGGGACUGCCGGUGUUAAACCGGAGGAAGGUGGGGAUGACGUCAAGUCCUCAUGGCCUUUAUGACCAGGGCUACACACGUACUACAAUGGCCGAUACAAAGGGCAGCGACACUGCGAGGUGAAGCCAAUCCCGUAAAAUCGGUCUCAGUCCGGAUUGGAGUCUGCAACUCGACUCCAUGAAGUUGGAAUCGCUAGUAAUCGUGGAUCAGCAUGCCACGGUGAAUACGUUCCCGGGCCUU